CGCAGCUCGCGACCGUCAAAAGCUGGAAUAGCUCAGUUGGUUAGAGCGUGUGGCUGUUAACCACAAGGUCGGAGGUUCAAGCCCUCCUUCUAGCGG
rnacentral:tRNA from 1 species